rnacentral:rRNA from 1 species
AUUGAACGCUGGCGGCAGGCCUAACACAUGCAAGUCGAGCGAGCGGCGGACGGGUGAGUAAUGUCUGGGAAACUGCCUGAUGGAGGGGGAUAACUACUGGAAACGGUAGCUAAUACCGCAUACCAUCAGAUGUGCCCAGAUGGGAUAAGCUAGUAGGUGGGGUAAUGGCUAACCUAGGCGACGAUCCCUAGCGGGUCUGAGAGGAUGACCAGUCCAACUGUUACUGAGACACGGUCCAGACUCAUACGGGAGUCAGCAGUGGGGAAUAUUGCACAAUGGGCUCAAGCCUGAUGCAGCCAUGCCGCGGGUGUGAAGGAGGCUUUCGGGUUGUAAAGCACUUUCAGCGGGGAGGCGUUGCCCGCAGACGCAGCACCGACUAACUCCGUGCCAGCAGCAGCGGUAAUUC